rnacentral:lncRNA from 1 species
UGCCACAGUGACCCGGUGACACGCGCACACACACACACCCGCGCAAGAUUGGCCAAGGCGGCGAUCGGGACCCGGUGGAGCGCUGCAACCUUGCUCACGACUUGGUCUCUUUGUCGCCGCUUGCGAGCCGGAGGGGGGGAUCCGGAGUAGACAGCCUCCCUGAGGGUACCUGUGUUAGCCGAGUGAGCGCUCGGGAUGAUGGCUAAGAUCAACCUCGGCGGAGGUCGCUUCUUUCGGAUUGAUCCAUUCGGAUUAGAAGUGACCGCGGGUUCAACGGCGGUGCCAGUAGGGCCUCCGAAGCAGACUCUUCUCUCCAAGAUUGUUUAAGUUCCUUGAGAAGUAUGCAGUCUUUUCACAAGCUGGCUUCCCUGGCAUUCUUACAUGUUCAAUCCACACAGGAAAAAAGAGAAGACAUCAACCAUCUAUCCAGUGAUCUGGAGGAAAGAGGGAAGAGAUUACUUGUGUGCUGACAUUCUAUCAGUGACUGGCCUUUUGCUCAAAAAAAUAAAAUACAAUGGACUCUUAUUACAUCUGCAAGCGUCUGCAUCCUCAGUUUGAUGAAUGAAAUGUAGCUCGGUGGGUCUUGCAUUUUGGCUGACGAAAAUGUCGGUUUGCCAGUUGUUCUCUCCAGCGUUCUUCUGGGCUAAGCACUGCAGUUUUAAAAGCACUGUAGAUCAUUUUUUUUUUGAGUUAUUGAAACAUUU